GGAGCGGCCCAGGAGCCGGCGCGAGUCCCGGACCCGCCGCAGCUGCAACAGGGCGGGCGGUCCGGCGUUGCCGCCGGGCUGGGCUAGCGGCUUCGAGCUUGUCCCUGGGCGACCAGUGGCAGUGCCCUUUGCAGGUCGGAGCCUGGAUGUUUACAGAACUGUUUUAUAUAGUCUGGCACAGGACAACCAGCCUGCUGAAUAACACUAACUACACUUCGUAAUAAAGAAAUAUAUAAAGGAGCAGAAAGAAAAAGCAAUUGGAUAAUAUUUAAGUAUUGCUAACCACAAGUUACAAAUGCCAUCAAACUUUUUGACAGACAAUCCUGUAUCUAAAAUUGUCAGAGGCAUGAAACUUCUGGCCUUGGUUUGUUCUUGCCUGUAAGAAUACUGGAAGGAGUUUAGACUAAGAAACAGAAUAAGCAGGUCUUUUAAGAUACCCUGAACUGGAACAAAAGCUUCAGAAUCCAAAUUCGUUUUUCACAUGAAAUGCCCAUGUACAUGCAUCCUUAAAGAUGCAGUGGAAAAAAAAGGUUUGUAUCCUAUUUUGCUUUUUUAUACUUUAUAAAGGCAUCAUGAAAGACAUUUGUCUUAUAUUUUGAAAAAAUCUUAUUAGGGUUUGUUUGUUUUUUUUACAUUAAAAAAUCCAGUUUUAUAAAUCCUGGAUGACUAUAAUUGUUGAUGACUUAAAUGACUUAAAUGUUGAUGACCUGAUGACUAUAAAUUGUUCCUGGAUGACUAUAAUUCUACAUACAAUUUGGUAUCUAGUAGGAUGAUAUCUACUAGUCUGAAGAAAAGGAAACUGUAAAUUUAUUCUACAAGUGCCCUUCUGAAUAAGAAUCUCUUCAGCAUAGCAUAUUAAGCUAUAAUUAUUCAACACAGCGGACACAUCUACCCAUCCUUAAAGCAUCCUUAAAGUUGCUAUAAAUGCUUAUUAGUAGUAUUUUGUUAAUUAUAUAGCACCACACAGGGGCUUGUCGUUGUUAGGUUUCUUACCUUGAUUGGCUGCUUGACUGACAAGUAAUUUGAGUACUUAACACAAUUGUAAAGGCUACUGUUCUUUCCCUGGGGAAAAAUGGGGUUACUCUAUAGUGAUUUACAAUAUAAAGAAUAACAUAUUUAUUUUAUAUUUAGGAGGUUAAUUUUUUACUGAAAUAGUUAUAUUAGUACAGUUUUUAGUAUUGACAUGGCUAUACUGGUGUAAAGGUGCCUCAUACUGUAUAUGUAUAGCUUAUUCUUUAUGUCUAAAACCAACUAGUGAAAAUACCUUUAUGUGCUUGCUGGAAUCUAUCCACUGGACUCCAGAAGGGUGGAAUAAUCAUGACAGGUCAAAGACACCAAGCAUACACUAUGUGACCAAAUGCAGCUGUUAGCCACCUGAGAUCAUGGAAAAGCUUUCUUGCCUCAAGGGAACUCCUUAAAGUCAACAAUGGCUGCAUAGCUUGCACAGCUCAACACACUUAAUGAGGGCACCAAAAUGCACAGACAUCACUGUGCCCUGCAGGCACAGAGAAGGAUUGGUCAAUAUGAAGAUGUUUAAAUUGCCUUUGAACAAGAGUCAGCAUCUUAAAAGAUAAUAUGCAGAGGUGGGCUUAUUCUGAAGACCAAGGCACAUGUGACUGCAGUCAAACACUGAACAUGGACACACCUGUUAGCCUGCCAUGUCCUGGAAAAACUGUGCACAGUAGAAGACAUUGUUGGGCAAGAGACCAGGCCAUAUUAUGUGCCUAAUAAUGGAAAAAUCUGUAACUAUGGUAGCUGGAUAGAAAGACCAGCAGCAAGUAUAACUUCCUCUGUGUUAGGAAGGUUUCCUGCUGUAGUUACAUCAACAAAUUAGACCCAACUACAGCAAACAGUAGCAAAGAGAGGGAAUUUAGAAGGUGGAGGUUUAAUGGAAGAUCAUGCAUUAUGCUCAUUGUUAUGCAUGUAUGAAAAAAAAUAAAAUUUGAGGACUCUGUGAAGAAUGACAGUGAUGGUAGAGGUCAGGGAGCCAGAAAAACGGGCCUCAGGAGUUUUUUUUCAGAAGAUUGCUAGGUUCAACAUAUAGGUUAUGCCACACAAUUUGACAAACGUCAUUAGGCAAACCC